UUCCACCCAUUUCUUUUCUCUCCUCUGUUUUGCCGAAGUUUUCCCCCUUAAUUCAGAGUAAUUCUAUUAUCUCCACUCGGCAAUUCAGUUUUGUCCCUUGUGGUUGGUUUUUCCCCUCAAAACUUUAGCUCUCUCAACAGACUCAUCGCCUCUUCCUCUCUCGCUUGGUGUUCUUUUGUCUACAGUGCAGAUUUUUGUGUUACAUUUUCGUUAGUCCUUGAAGCCUUGCAACCAUCGAAGCCCACCACUAGUGACACUAUUGUUCGCCGGUGACGAAACUGAUAGAGGUCAUUUUCAAGGCAUAGAUAAUACGUUGCAUGAGUCAGGUAAGCGAGAUUCCUAUACUAGAUUUGCAUAAAAAGAAAUGAA